rfam:Felis catus isolate Cinnamon breed Abyssinian chromosome A2, whole genome shotgun sequence.
GCCUGGGUGGCUCAGUCAGUUAAGCAUCUGACUUCAGCUCAGGUCAUGAUCUCCUAGUUCGUGGGUUUGAGCCCUGCAUCGGGCU